rnacentral:rRNA from 1 species
AUUGUUUUAAUGGCCGCGGUAUAUUGACCGUGCAAAGGUAGCAUAAUCAUUAGUCUAUUAAUUGUGGACUUGUAUGAAAGGUUGGACGAGAUAUUAGCUGUCUUUAAUUUAUUAUUAUAAUUUUAAUUUUUAGUUAAAAUGCUAGAAUUUUUUUAUGGGACGAGAAGACCCUAUAGAUCUUUAUUAUUUAUUUUGUUAAUUUGUUUGGUUUAUUUAUUUAUUAAUUAUUUAUAUUAUUUUGUUGGGGUGACAUGGAGAUAAAUCAUAACUCUUUAUUUUUUUUUACAUUUAUUUUUGUUUAAUUGACCUUUUAAUAUUGUUAUAAGAUAUAGAUACCUUAGGGAUAACAGCGUAAUUUUAUUUGAGAGUUCAUAUCAACAAUAAAGAUUGCGACCUCGAUGUUGGAUUAAGAUUAUUAUUAGGUGUAGGUGCUUAAUUAAUAGGUCUGUUCGACCUUUAAAUUCUUACAUGAUCUGAGUUCAAAACCGGAGAA